GUUACAUCAUGGCAAAACAGCAACCAAAACUAGAUUACCCUGGAUUAGAAGCAAGAUUUUUUCAUAGUGCUGCAACUGUAGGUGAUUCAUUAUUUGUGUGGGCUGGUGAUCAAGCUGGUUUGCCUAAAGUACAUGACAGUAUAGAGAAGAGGAAAUUUACUAAUACUAUACAACACUUUACUGCCUCAUCUGGUCAAUGGUUUGCUAGAGAAACUACUGGUACUUCUCCAUUAGGAGUCACUGGUUACUACUGUGCUGCAAUAAAUGACUAUUUGUAUUAUUUUGGUGGCUAUUGCAAUCAUGACAACUGCUUUCACAACAGUAUUACACAACUGGAUACCAUUAGUCUUCGAUGGAGAGAGUUAAAGUUAACAGAUGCAACUAGACCAGUUAUGAGGAGAGGCUGUGGGGGGAUGUUAUCGUUUGAACACGACAGAGAACACUAUUUAUUAAUGAUAGGAGGAAUAGGAUCUAAACCAGCUGUACAACUACCUGACUAUAAAUAUAUUGAGUCCAAGCUACAUAGUGGAAGAUGGCGUACUAAUGAGCACUCAAUGUAUAAUUUAUCAUCAGGAAAAUGGGGCAAUAUAUUAAUCAUUGGUGAAUGCAUACCUCCUGCUGAUGGUUUUAUCAUUGAGAAGAUCAGCAGCACAAGAGCUAUUCUUUUUGGCGGAAUUGUACAAGAUGAUAAGACUGAGGCUACUGCUAAUAUGUAUUUAUUAAACAUAGACUUAUCGCUCAGCACUGUGUCAUGGCAGUAUAUAAAGAAACCUGAAGCAAUUGACCAAUGGCCUGUGGGUAGAUUUAAUCAUGCAAGUGCUAUUAUUGUAACUGAAUUACUCUACCCUAUGCUGGUGAUAUGUGGUGGGAUGAAUAAUAAUAAUGACAUGCUAGAUGACUGCUGGAUCUUUAAUACUACUCAACGCACCUGGACAACUUGGACAAAAUUAGGUAUACAUCACUCAUUUAGUAAGAGAUGGGCUCAUUCCCUUUCAGUAUUCACUUUGAGUCCUCGUUGUUUCUGGAUCAUAACUGUUGGAGGAGCAUCUGUUUCUAAAAGAGAAGUUACUACUGAUGAGCUGGUUCCAUCUCCAUACAUAACAGUGAUAAAAAGUCUAAUUGUCAAUAAUGAAAAAAUUAUAGUACAAAAUAUACCACUAUCAAAUAAUCAGCAGUACCAGAGUACGUAUUAUCAGCAACUGCAACUAGGAAGAACCCAUUGGCUGGAGCACCAGAAACAAAAAGAGAAAUUAGUGCAAGUAUUACCCAGCUCAGCACAAGAAUGGCAAGGGCACCAACUUACAGAAUAUAAAACAUUGCUAAAAGAACAAGAGCUAGAGACACAAGCUAUUAAGCAACAAUUAAGGAAAGAGCAAGAUCAUAGGCAGCAGUUGUUAAUAGAAUUGGAAAAGAAGGAGGCAGAACGGAGUUUUCAACUACAAGAAAAAGAGCUAAUAUAUCAUCAUCAAUUGCAGGAAAAUAAAGCACAGAAGGAGCGAGAAAUACAAAAAAUCUGUUUUCAAUUACAGGAAAAGCUAGAGAGAGAGAAGGCAGCAAAAGAUCUAGAAAUACAAAAUUAUCAUUACCAGUUGUUGGAAAAAGAAAAAAUGGAGGCACUAAAAAUUCAAGAAUAUCUUCAACAGCUACAACAAAAGGAGGCAGAAAUACUUAAUUAUUUUAAUCAGCUACAAGAAAGAAAUCAAGAAAUACAAGAGUACUGCCAUCAGUUGGAACAAGUGCAAGUAAGCGAGGCUGAGAAAGAUCUAGAAAUUCAAAGAUGCUAUCAAGAAAUACAAAAGUACCAAUAUCAGUUACAAGAGAAGGAGAAGGCUGAUGCAAUUUCAAAGCAAAAAAUGCAACAACUAUACCAUCAGCAAUUACAAGAAAAAGAGCAAGAGAGCUUAGAGAAAGAGAAAGAAAAACAAAAAUAUCACCAAAAAUUGCAAAAAACUGAGAAAGAUAAGACCGAGACAAAACAAAAGCAUUCUCUACAGUUGUCAGAAAAAGAAACAGAAAUUGAAAAAUACCGAAAACAUUUGAAAAAAGAAGAAGCAGAGAAGGAGCAAUGUCACCUUCAACUAAAAGAAAAUGAAAAGAAAUAUAUUCAACAGUUACAGGUGAAAGACAAGGAACUUUCAGAGAACAAAAAGUAUCAUCAACUUCAGCUACAAGAAAACGAGGCGAAAAUGAAGCAAAAAUUACAAAAUUAUGAUCACAAGUUGCAAAAGAUGAAGAAGGAGUUGGAAGAUAAAGAAAAAGAGAUACAAAUUCUUAAUCAGCUGAUAUGUAAGGAACAAAGAGAAAAAGAUAAAGAAAUUCAACAAUUACUGCAGCAAAUACAACAAUAUAAACAUCAAAUACAAGGGAACGAUAAAUGUAUGAUUGAAAAGGAGAGAGCUAAAGAGAAAAUUCAGGAAAUCAGAUUACUUCAUUCCUCACAAAUAAUAUUUGAUGAACAGAAGGAGCAAGUACCUAUGAUGCCAUCAAAACAGAAGGUAGAGCAAUGCAAUGAAAAAACUUCUGAAAGUUUACCCGAGACAGGAGAUGAACUUAAAGGCGUACACGUUGCUGAUAAAAAAUCAUUUCUUAUUCAAAGUGGAUCUAACCAGUCACUGUCAGUUAACUGGGAGGAAUAUGGUAUAAGGAUAACAAUACCACAAGGAGCAGUGCUACCCUCUGAAACUGUACAGAUAACUAUCAAUGCUCUAGUAGGAGGAGAUUUUGUAUUUCCUGAAGAUACUGAGCUUAUUAGUGCAGUAUAUGCCAUAAGCCUCUCCAAGCCUUUUCUUGAACCUGUUAAACUUGAGGUACAGCAUUGUGUCUCCAUAACAACACCAGCUCAUAGCAACUACCUUAGUUUUUCUACUGCAACUAAUAAUCAGCCACCUUUCCAGUUUAAUACAGUAGAUGGCGGAGAAUUUUCUAUUGGCAACAGAUAUGGUAGCAUAAGUAUUGCUAAGUUUUCUAAGUGGUCUGUUGUCAUGAAACGCAGGAGAAGAACACGUAUGCAUCCAUAUCGCACAGAAAAUUUAUCACAUAAAAAAGAGCAUAAAUCUCUCUCAGUUUCAUCAUCAUCACAGUCUUCAACUAAUGUUGAAGAAUCUUUUCCUAAUAUUGAAGAACCACUUGAGAAAAUUCCUUUAUCUUCAAGCAGAACAAUUGAUGCAUCAGAACAAAAUCAGUUGAUGAUACAAAUACCAGUUGAGAUAUUAGAAGAUGAGUCACCUGUUAAGCUUUACUUUGGUCAAGUAAUAUAUGAGGUUAGAAAAACAGGAAGAGAAUGGUUGAUGAGAUUUCUACUUUGUCAAGAUCUAAAUGCACUAGUAGAGCAUAUUAAAAAGGUAUUCAAGAGCUUUGAAGAAAAUAUGGAAAUAGCUUUUGAGUUUGAAAAUUGCCAUGAUGGAUGCAUUGAGUUGCAACUUGAUGAUAGAAAAUGUCCUAAAGGAUGGUCAGUGAGACCUCAUCAAAAACCUUCAAAACCACUCCUGAUGAAGAUGCAGUUAAAGAAUUAAGUUAUCCCAUCACAAUGCAAGGAAUAAAAUCUGACACUGAGGAAAUAAACGUUGUAUUAACAAUGGGUGACUUUCAGCAAAAACCUGCUGGAACUAUUGCAUCACCAUCAGGGUCAAUUUCACCAG
rnacentral:misc_RNA from 1 species